CCCCUCGAGAGUGGCGAACGGGUGAGUAAUAUAUCGGAACGUGCCCAGUCGUGGGGGAUAACGUAGCGAAAGUUACGCUAAUACCGCAUACGAUCUACGGAUGAAAGCGGGGGACCGUAAGGCCUCGCGCGAUUGGAGCGGCCGAUAUCAGAUUAGGUAGUUGGUGUGGUAAAGGCUCACCAAGCCAACGAUCUGUAGCUGGUCUGAGAGGACGACCAGCCACACUGGAACUGAGACACGGUCCAGACUCCUACGGGAGGCAGCAGUGGGGAAUUUUGGACAAUGGACGCAAGUCUGAUCCAGCCAUUCCGCGUGCAGGAUGAAGGCCCUCGGGUUGUAAACUGCUUUUGUACGGAACGAAAAGGUCUCUCUUAAUACGAGGGGCUCAUGACGGUACCGUAAGAAUAAGCACCGGCUAACUACGUGCCAGCAGCCGCGGUAAUACGUAGGGUGCAAGCGUUAAUCGGAAUUACUGGGCGUAAAGCGUGCGCAGGCGGUUAUGUAAGACAGAGGUGAAAUCCCCGGGCUCAACCUGGGAACUGCCUUUGUGACUGCAUAGCUAGAGUACGGUAGAGGGGGAUGGAAUUCCGCGUGUAGCAGUGAUAUGCGUAGAUAUGCGGAGGAACACCGAUGGCGAAGGCAAUCCCCUGGACCUGUACUGACGCUCAUGCACGAAAGCGUGGGGAGCAAACAGGAUUAG
rnacentral:rRNA from 1 species